CACGGGGGGAGCAAGCGUUGUUCGGAUUCAUUGGGCGUAAAGGGCUCGUAGGUGGCUUUGUAAGUCGGAGGUGAAAUCCCACGGCUCAACCGUGGACACGCCUUCGAAACUGUGAAGCUUGAGGCUGGGAGAGGAGAUCGGAAUUCCUGGUGUAGCGGUGAAAUGCGUAGAUAUCGGGAGGAACACCGGUGGCGAAGGCGGCGACCUGGGUAGAUACUGACGCUGAGGCGCGAAAGCGUGGGGAGCAAACAGG
rnacentral:rRNA from 1 species